CUACCCUUGACAUGUAUGGAAUCCUGCUGAGAGGUGGGAGUGCCCGAAAGGGAGCCAUAACACAGGUGCUGCAUGGCUGUCGUCAGCUCGUGUCGUGAGAUGUUGGGUUAAGUCCCGCAACGAGCGCAACCCUUGUCCCUAGUUGCUACGCAAGAGCACUCUAGGGAGACUGCCGGUGACAAACCGGAGGAAGGUGGGGAUGACGUCAAGUCCUCAUGGCCCUUAUGGGUAGGGCUUCACACGUCAUACAAUGGUCGGAACAGAGGGUCGCCAACCCGCGAGGGGGAGCCAAUCCCAGAAAACCGAUCGUAGUCCGGAUUGCAGUCUGCAACUCGACUGCAUGAAGUUGGAAUCGCUAGUAAUCGAGGAUCAGCAUGCCUCGGUGAAUA
rnacentral:rRNA from 1 species